rnacentral:rRNA from 1 species
UUUUAUGGAGAGUUUGAUCCUGGCUCAGGAUGAACGCUGGCGGCGUGCCUAAUACAUGCAAGUCGAGCGAACGGACGAGAAGCUUGCUUCUCUGAUGUUAGCGGCGGACGGGUGAGUAACACGUGGAUAACCUACCUAUAAGACUGGGAUAACUUCGGGAAACCGGAGCUAAUACCGGAUAAUAUUUUGAACCGCAUGGUUCAAAAGUGAAAGACGGUCUUGCUGUCACUUAUAGAUGGAUCCGCGCUGCAUUAGCUAGUUGGUAAGGUAACGGCUUACCAAGGCAACGAUGCAUAGCCGACCUGAGAGGGUGAUCGGCCACACUGGAACUGAGACACGGUCCAGACUCCUACGGGAGGCAGCAGUAGGGAAUCUUCCGCAAUGGGCGAAAGCCUGACGGAGCAACGCCGCGUGAGUGAUGAAGGUCUUCGGAUCGUAAAACUCUGUUAUUAGGGAAGAACAUAUGUGUAAGUAACUGUGCACAUCUUGACGGUACCUAAUCAGAAAGCCACGGCUAACUACGUGCCAGCAGCCGCGGUAAUACGUAGGUGGCAAGCGUUAUCCGGAAUUAUUGGGCGUAAAGCGCGCGUAGGCGGUUUUUUAAGUCUGAUGUGAAAGCCCACGGCUCAACCGUGGRGGGUCAUUGGAAACUGGAAAACUUGAGUGCAGAAGAGGAAAGUGGAAUUCCAUGUGUAGCGGUGAAAUGCGCAGAGAUAUGGAGGAACACCAGKGGCGAAGGCGACUUUCUGGUCUGUAACUGACGCUGAUGUGCGAAAGCGUGGGGAUCAAACAGGAUUAGAUACCCUGGUAGUCCACGCCGUAAACGAUGAGUGCUAAGUGUUAGGGGGUUUCCGCCCCUUAGUGCUGCAGCUAACGCAUUAAGCACUCCGCCUGGGGAGUACGACCGCAAGGUUGAAACUCAAAGGAAUUGACGGGGACCCGCACAAGCGGUGGAGCAUGUGGUUUAAUUCGAAGCAACGCGAAGAACCUUACCAAAUCUUGACAUCCUUUGACAACUCUAGAGAUAGAGCCUUCCCCUUCGGGGGACAAAGUGACAGGUGGUGCAUGGUUGUCGUCAGCUCGUGUCGUGAGAUGUUGGGUUAAGUCCCGCAACGAGCGCAACCCUUAAGCUUAGUUGCCAUCAUUAAGUUGGGCACUCUAAGUUGACUGCCGGUGACAAACCGGAGGAAGGUGGGGAUGACGUCAAAUCAUCAUGCCCCUUAUGAUUUGGGCUACACACGUGCUACAAUGGACAAUACAAAGGGCAGCGAAACCGCGAGGUCAAGCAAAUCCCAUAAAGUUGUUCUCAGUUCGGAUUGUAGUCUGCAACUCGACUACAUGAAGCUGGAAUCGCUAGUAAUCGUAGAUCAGCAUGCUACGGUGAAUACGUUCCCGGGUCUUGUACACACCGCCCGUCACACCACGAGAGUUUGUAACACCCGAAGCCGGUGGAGUAACCUUUUAGGAGCUAGCCGUCGAAGGUGGGACAAAUGAUUGGGGUGAAGUCGUAACAAGGUAGCCGUAUCGGAAGGUGCGGCUGGAUCACCUCCUUUCUAA